UAGGUAAUCUACUCCAAAGUUUGGAAUAACCGGCCGAAAGGCUGGCUAAUACUGGAUAGAGCGACGGAAUCCGUAAUUGGGUUUUUCGGGAAAGGGAGGAAGCAAUUCCCUUCGCUUUGGAAUGAGCCUGCGUCUCAUUAGCUAGUUGGCGGGGUAAUGGCCCACCAAGGCUAUGAUGGGUAGCUGGUCUGAGAGGAUGAUCAGCCACACUGGAACUGAAACNCGGUCCAGACUCCUAGGGACG
rnacentral:rRNA from 1 species